GCUGAAAAUUUAGCCCAAAAAUUUGUAUAUAAACACUUUUUAUCUCUUAUAUUUAAUUAAAACAUUUUUAAGGUUUAGUAAAGGCGAUUGAAUAAUCUUUUGGAGCCAUAUUUAUAGUACCGUAAGGGAAUAAUGAAAUAAAAAUGAAAUAUUCUAUAAGCAUAAAACAGUAGAGAUACCCCCUCGUACCUUUUGCAUCAUGAUUUAACUAGAUUAACCAAGCAAAAUGAAUUUCAGUUUGCCACCCCGAAACUAAACGAGCUACUUCAGGGCAGCUUUCUGAGCUAACCCAUCUCUGUCGCAAAAGAGUGGGAAGACCCUUAAGUAGAGGUGAUAGACCUAACGAGUUUAGUGAUAGCUGGUUACUUAAGAAACGGAUGUAAGUCCAACCUAAAGUUUUAGUAAUAGUUCUAAAUAAAUAUUAAACUUUAGAUUCAUUCAAAUAAGGUACAGCCUAUUUGAAACAGGAUACAACCUAGAUAAAUGGGUAAUUAAUAUAUUGUAUUAUAAAGUAGGCCUAAAAGCAGCCACCUUUCAAAAAGCGUCAAAGCUUAAUUAUAGUUAAAUCAAAUUCCAUUAAUUUUUAAAAACCCUUAAACUAUAUUAAGUAAUUCUAUAAAAUUAUAGAAGAUAUUAUGUUAAAACUAGUAACAAGAAUUUAAAGCUUCUCUUUAAUAUAAGUAUAAGUCAGAACGGACCCACCACUGACUCUUAACAUUCCUGAACCUAAAGUAAUAACCAAUCAAGAAAAACUUACUUUAUAACAUGUUAAUCUAACACAAGAAUAUUACAAGACGAUUAAAAGAAAAAGAAGGAACUCGGCAAACAAUAACCUCGCCUGUUUACCAAAAACAUCGCCUCCUGAAUUAACUUAUAGGAGGUCCAGCCUGCCCAGUGACUCUGUUCAACGGCCGCGGUAUCCUAACCGUGCGAAGGUAGCGUAAUCACUUGUUCUUUAAAUGAGGACUAGUAUGAAUGGCAUCACGAAGGUUAUACUGUCUCCUCUUUCUAAUCAGUGAAACUAAUCUUUCCGUGAAGAAGCGGAAAUAAACUUAUAAGACGAGAAGACCCUAUGGAGCUUCAAACUCUCAACAACUAUCUUUUUUUAUUUAACUCUAAAGAAAAUAAUACUUAUCUAGAUAGUAUGACUGUUAGUUUUUGGUUGGGGUGACCACGGAGUAAAACCCAUCCUCCACGAUGAAUAGGACCUGCUCCUAAGCAAAGAACUACUAUUCAAAGCAUCAAGAAAUUGACAAUAUUGACCCAAUAUUUUGAUCAACGAACCAAGUUACCCUAGGGAUAACAGCGCAAUCCAUCUAAAGAGUUCAUAUCGACAGAUGGGUUUACGACCUCGAUGUUGGAUCAGGGUAUCCCAGUGGUGCAGCCGCUACUAAAGGUUCGUUUGUUCAACGAUUAAAACCCU
rnacentral:rRNA from 1 species